UACAGAGGAGCCAAGCGUUGUCCGGAUUGACUGGGCGUAAAGCGCACGCAGGCGGUUGCGCGCGUGGGGUGUGAAAUCUGGCCGCUUAACGGCCAGGCGCCAUCCCAUACGGCACAACUGGAGGGCUGCAGAGGUCGAUGGAAUUGCCGGUGUAGUGGUGAAAUGCGUAGAGAUCGGCAGGAACACCCAGGGGGAAACCAGUCGACUGGGCAGCACCUGACGCUGAGGUGCGAGAGCGUGGGGAGCGAACAGGG
rnacentral:rRNA from 1 species